rnacentral:rRNA from 1 species
CCUGAUGGUUAGCGGCGGACGGGUGAGUAACACGUAGGCAACCUGCCCGUAAGACUGGGAUAACUACCGGAAACGGUAGCUAAUACCGGAUAAUCAAGUUUCUCGCAUGAGAGACUUGGGAAAGGCGGAGCAAUCUGUCACUUACGGAUGGGCCUGCGGCGCAUUAGCUAGUUGGUGGGGUAACGGCUCACCAAGGCGACGAUGCGUAGCCGACCUGAGAGGGUGAACGGCCACACUGGGACUGAGACACGGCCCAGACUCCUACGGGAGGCAGCAGUAGGGAAUCUUCCGCAAUGGACGAAAGUCUGACGGAGCAACGCCGCGUGAGUGAAGAAGGUUUUCGGAUCGUAAAGCUCUGUUGCCAGGGAAGAACGUCUUCUGGAGUAACUGCCAGGAGAGUGACGGUACCUGAGAAGAAAGCCCCGGCUAACUACGUGCCAGCAGCCGCGGUAAUACGUAGGGGGCAAGCGUUGUCCGGAAUUAUUGGGCGUAAAGCGCGCGCAGGCGGCUGUUUAAGUCUGGUGUUUAAUCCUGGGGCUCAACUCCGGGUCGCACUGGAAACUGGAUGGCUUGAGUG